rnacentral:rRNA from 1 species
CAGCAGCCGCGGGAAUACGUAGGGUGCAAGCGUUAUCCGGAAUUAUUGGGCGUAAAGAGCUCGUAGGCGGUUUGUCGCGUCUGCUGUGAAAACUGGAGGCUCAACCUCCAGCCUGCAGUGGGUACGGGCAGACUAGAGUGCGGUAGGGGAGAUUGGAAUUCCUGGUGUAGCGGUGGAAUGCGCAGAUAUCAGGAGGAACACCGAUGGCGAAGGCAGAUCUCUGGGCCGUAACUGACGCUGAGGAGCGAAAGCGUGGGGAGCGAACAGGAUUAGAUACCCCCGUAGUCCCUGUCUCUUAUAA